rnacentral:tRNA from 1 species
GGGCUUAUAGCUCAGCUGGUUAGAGCGCGCCCCUGAUAAGGGCGAGGUCGGUAGUUCGAAUCUACCUAGGCCCACCA